UACGAAGGGUGCAAGCGUUACUCGGAAUUACUGGGCGUAAAGGGCUCGUAGGCGGCCAACUAAGUCAUACGUGAAAUCCCUCGGCUUAACCGGGGAACUGCGUCUGAUACUGGAUGGCUUGAGUUCGGGAGAGGGAUGCGGAAUUCCAGGUGUAGCGGUGAAAUGCGUAGAUAUCUGGAGGAACACCGGUGGCGAAGGCGGCAUCCUGGACCGAUACUGACGCUGAGGAGCGAAAGCCAGGGGAGCAAACGGG
rnacentral:rRNA from 1 species